rnacentral:rRNA from 1 species
CCUACGGGGGGCAGCAGUGGGGAAUAUUGGACAACGGGGGGAACCCUGAUCCAGCCAUGCCGCGUGUGUGAAGAAGGCCCUCGGGUUGUAAAGCACUUUCAGUGAGGAAGAACGCCUGGUGGUUAAUACCCAUCAGGAAAGACAUCACUCACAGAAGAAGCACCGGCUAACUCCGUGCCAGCAGCCGCGGUAAUACGGAGGGUGCGAGCGUUAAUCGGAAUUACUGGGCGUAAAGCGCGCGUAGGUGGCUUGAUAAGCCGGUUGUGAAAGCCCCGGGCUCAACCUGGGAACGGCAUCCGGAACUGUCAAGCUAGAGUGCAGGAGAGGAAGGUAGAAUUCCCGGUGUAGCGGUGAAAUGCGUAGAGAUCGGGAGGAAUACCAGUGGCGAAGGCGGCCUUCUGGACUGACACUGACACUGAGGUGCGAAAGCGUGGGUAGCAAACAGGAUUAGAUACCCGAGUAGUC